UGCAGUCGAGCGGAAACGAGUUAUCUGAACCUUCGGGGAACGAUAACGGCGUCGAGCGGCGGACGGGUGAGUAAUGCCUAGGAAAUUGCCCUGAUGUGGGGGAUAACCAUUGGAAACGAUGGCUAAUACCGCAUGAUGCCUACGGGCCAAAGAGGGGGACCUUCGGGCCUCUCGCGUCAGGAUAUGCCUAGGUGGGAUUAGCUAGUUGGUGAGGUAAGGGCUCACCAAGGCGACGAUCCCUAGCUGGUCUGAGAGGAUGAUCAGCCACACUGGAACUGAGACACGGUCCAGACUCCUACGGGAGGCAGCAGUGGGGAAUAUUGCACAAUGGGCGCAAGCCUGAUGCAGCCAUGCCGCGUGUGUGAAGAAGGCCUUCGGGUUGUAAAGCACUUUCAGUCGUGAGGAAGGYRGUGUAGUUAAUAGCUGCAUYRUUUGACGUUAGCGACAGAAGAAGCACCGGCUAACUCCGUGCCAGCAGCCGCGGUAAUACGGAGGGUGCGAGCGUUAAUCGGAAUUACUGGGCGUAAAGCGCAUGCAGGUGGUUUGUUAAGUCAGAUGUGAAAGCCCGGGGCUCAACCUCGGAAUUGCAUUUGAAACUGGCAGACUAGAGUACUGUAGAGGGGGGUAGAAUUUCAGGUGUAGCGGUGAAAUGCGUAGAGAUCUGAAGGAAUACCGGUGGCGAAGGCGGCCCCCUGGACAGAUACUGACACUCAGAUGCGAAAGCGUGGGGAGCAAACAGGAUUAGAUACCCUGGUAGUCCACGCCGUAAACGAUGUCUACUUGGAGGUUGUGGCCUUGAGCCGUGGCUUUCGGAGCUAACGCGUUAAGUAGACCGCCUGGGGAGUACGGUCGCAAGAUUAAAACUCAAAUGAAUUGACGGGGGCCCGCACAAGCGGUGGAGCAUGUGGUUUAAUUCGAUGCAACGCGAAGAACCUUACCUACUCUUGACAUCCAGAGAACUUUCCAGAGAUGGAUUGGUGCCUUCGGGAACUCUGAGACAGGUGCUGCAUGGCUGUCGUCAGCUCGUGUUGUGAAAUGUUGGGUUAAGUCCCGCAACGAGCGCAACCCUUAUCCUUGUUUGCCAGCGAGUAAUGUCGGGAACUCCAGGGAGACUGCCGGUGAUAAACCGGAGGAAGGUGGGGACGACGUCAAGUCAUCAUGGCCCUUACGAGUAGGGCUACACACGUGCUACAAUGGCGCAUACAGAGGGCAGCCAACCUUGCGAAAGUGAGCGAAUCCCAAAAAGUGCGUCGUAGUCCGGAUUGGAGUCUGCAACUCGACUCCAUGAAGUCGGAAUCGCUAGUAAUCGUGGAUCAGAAUGCCACGGUGAAUACGUUCCCGGGCCUUGUAC
rnacentral:rRNA from 1 species